AUGACCUGUUUCCUACUGAAAGAAACCUUGCUUACUUUUAUGGUGACGUUGUCAAGGGCUCUUGUUCUUUCAGAAAUUUUUCCCCAUACAGCAGCUGACAGCUCAGUGUGCCUGUGUGUACAGAGAAGAGAUUCAGCCCUUUUGAUGAGCAUCAUUUUCUCAAUCAACGUUAUGGUACAUCUCAGUCAACUGCACCUCCAAGGGCAAGGAGGAACUGUAACUUGGGAGCUCAGCCAUUUGGAAGACCAACCAGGCAACUGUGAUCUAUUACCACCCAGCAGAUGAGGACGUUGCUAAGGCAGUUUCUCGAUGUAAGAAUGAUUUUAUCUCUUUUUUCUCUCUUUUCAACCCUCUUGGCCAGCUGGCAUCCCGUUUUUUCCUUUUCCAGCAGGCAUUGGUUCAGUUUGGCGUGAUCCUUCAGAGUGGGAGCAGUAGCCUAUUUAGAGCUUCAAACACAUAAAGACUGACUGGCUGGAACCCCAGAGAACAACCUAGCAAGAGGCUGAUGAGGGCACUUAGCCAGACCAUCUCUGAAACACUAUUGUUAAAAGAACCUGAUGUGCAUGUUAAGUAAACAUCAGAUAUGCAAAACCCAGUACACGUAACUUGCAGAUAAUAGCAUAAGGUAAUGGGCCCUAUCUCCAAAUAAAUAAUAGCACCCUCAUAACCACAGACAGUUUCAAUAUUUUCUGUUCACUUUCAAUGUCCUCUGGAUGGGUCAUAUCUAUAACACAAUAAAACUCCCACAGGCUCCAGCAGGAGCUGGAUUUAGUAUUAAACCCUAGGUAAAAUGAGGGAAAGAAAUUUCUCUUGCACACAAACAGGCAAAAGCUCUAGAAUAAAUGUGAUCCAGGAAGUUAUUAUAUAAAGGCAUUGAUAAUUUCAUUUGCAUAUAAAAUAAUAACAACAAGAACGGAAGCUAAAUUAUCCCAUAUAUACAGAAACCCUGGGUGUGCAGGAUUGGCUAUUCAUUAUUCUCUUGUCAUAUAAAGCAAUUCAGUCUGCAGCUGCAUUUCUCUUACAAAUCCAAUUCAAUCAAGAGAACCGAAACAUCAUUAGCAAACCCACUGAUUUAUCCACCAGUAAAGUGCUGAUACAGGCCUCUGUUCCUGCUGCUAAUAAAUUUUCUGCAUAGCAGUGUUGGCUCUCUCUAGGGAUCUCCCAUUAUUCUAAUGACUACAGAUUUCAAACUUAAC
rnacentral:lncRNA from 1 species